CUUGAUUUGGACCUCCCCAAGGGUUUACUGGGCCCUGUAAUGGACCUCUGGUGGGCUGCUGCCAACUCUCCCCCCUUCCACCCCGAGGUGGCUGUUGCCAUUAACUGGUGGGACAGUCAAUUUUGUUAUGUCCGAGUAGUCCACAUCCCCAACACACUCCUGGAGGACCAGUAUAAGGCUUGCCUCUUCCUCUCUGUCCUCUUUGUACUGGUUUUCUUUUCCAUCCCAUUGGCCAUGGUUGUUGAGUAUAUACAUUAAUGAUGGGUACAGGGAUCUGUUGUGCUUUUGGAGGGACUGUGGGCUUGGCUGAAUAGCUGAUGGAGGAGCAUUUACUGGAGACAUCACUGUCAUUUGUUCUAAUUCUUCUUUCUUUAUUGGAGUUUGAAUCUUUUUCUUGUUCUUUUUUUGUCAGCUCUUCAAGUUGUAAUUGAGUUAAUUUUCUUUGUAGCUCUUUCUCUUGGCUCUUUAGCUUCUGUUAAUUUUUUCUGUAUUGCUCCACUGCAUGAGACACAUGGUCACAGAACUCUUUGUGUGUUUUAGAGUUUAAGUCGACCACGUCCUCCAGCCUGCUCUUUCAGCUUGUGGCACAGCAUCAAUCACAGCAUUUCUAAACAAUGUUGCCAUUAAUGGGUCUCCUUCUGGAUUCCCAUCAGUUUCUUGUUUCCAUCUUUUCAGCUGUCUCUGGACAUAUGUGGUUGGAUUUUCUGUUUCCCCCAGCUGUUCUCCCUUUAAUGACUUUGGGUCUAGUCUGAUCGGGUAAUCGGCACACAGUGCCUGCCACACUGCUGGACAGAAUGCAUCAAACACAAUUCGAUCCAUGUAGUGAGAGUCCACAGCUCUUUCCAGAUUGGAUGCUUGAAGAAUUUCCUCUUUGCUCCUCCUAUAGUUUUUGCCAACAGUGCUUUAAUGUCACCCACAGCUAAAAGUUUGCCCAUAGUUUCUUCUUUGAACACCUUAAUCCACUUCCCAGCCCCUUCAUGGAUGUCUGGGAGGCGAGUGACCAGCCCCUCAAGGUCCUGUGAGGCCCAGGGGACAUACUGUCCCUGUGUACCCUUAAUUAAAAUUGGGAGAUGUGCAGCCCGUGGUCUAAGUCUUCCCAGACAGCAGUUGACUCUGUGCCAGAUCCGUUUUCAAACCAGCAAAUCCGUAUUACAGUCACAUCCGUUUCAGUGCUGUAACACGAAUCCAGCCCGGGCUUGCUGGCUUGAUUAGCAUUUUGCGGAAAGAGUAAAAAAAAUGUGUUGUAAUAUACUGUUUCAAUAUCUUAGAGAAACCAAUUUAAGUGGAAGGAUAUAGUUUUUUUUAAACAAUGCUUACACACAACAUUCUGGUCCACACUCAUACCAGAUGGUGGCGGUAAUGCACCAAAAAGUUGUUUGCCAACCGCCAAUAAACCUUAGUAGAAGAAGAAGACGUCAAGACGAUCGAGGCAGACGGACUGCACGCUGUUAAAACUUCACUAAGGUAUGUCACACCGUGUUAUCACACUGUUCUACUAACAAAUUAAUUUCUUAUUAUGUUGUGUACUCGAUAACUUAAAGGUUUGGUGUUUUUAUUGCUCCUUAGAUCGGUGUUGGACCGGCGAACACUUAGGCCUAUGUUAUCAGAGGACUUGCUAACAUGAAGAAAACGGUCCAGAGGUUCCACCUGAGAGCCGGGACUGUCAAACAGUAAGAGACAACGAAAAGAGGGGAACUGUCUUUAAAGCUGUGGAGUCAGAUGGAGGGCUCGCAUUUACCUCAAAAACGGCAUUGCAGAAGACUCGAACAACUAGAACCAACUCAAGCACACAAUGGUGACACACAUUUGUAAGACCUUUCCCUGUGAAUAAAAUUUCACUGUGGUAAUUAUUCAGAUUCUUCUCAUUCUUAUUGUGAUGCACUGUUUUAAGCUUAGUGAAUAUUAUGUACAGUAAGCACUAGAAGUAGAGACUUAUACUACUUGGGGUAGUUUUAAUUUAACUUUAAUUUUGCUUUUGAUGCAAAAAUUAUCAAAAGAAAAGAUGUAGUGUAGUAAAAGAUGUUUUGUUGUAAUUCAAUUGUUUUAAUAUGAAUAUUGUUUUAAUAGUGUUCAGGACAGUAAUUGUCUGUACAUCUAAAUCAGUUCUUUAAACUUUUUGUUGUCUAAGACCUUGAUAUUAUACCUUAAGGAAAAAAAAAAAGAUAUUUAAUUAUGUAUUAUGUACCCAGACAGCAACAUAGUUCUGGCCCAGAUCCAGCCCACAUCUGGCCCGUGUGAAAUCCAUGCGGGCCAGUUGUGGGCCGGAUCUGGGCUGACACUCCUUGCUGUCUGGGUAAGAUGCUUGUAAUCAUUGCUUUUAAAGGUAUUUAUCAUUUCUACUUAAAUAGUCAUUAUCUACUUGUAUGAUUUGUAUUAUCUGGGAACUGUACAAAUACUGUGGCAUAUGGACAUUACUCUUUUUAUUUGUAACUUUUAAAUGCAAUACUCUUUUUAAAUGCAUUUUCUGUAAAGCUGCAUUGGAAUAUGUAUUGUGAAAAGCACUGUACAAAUAAACAAAUUGUGUUUGAAUUCUA